GACGAAGGGGGCUAGCGUUGUUCGGAAUUACUGGGCGUAAAGCGCGUGUAGGCGGUUAUCCAAGUCAGGUGUGGAAGCCUUGAGCUCAACUCAAGAAAUGCACUUGGUACUGGGUGACUAGAGGACCGGAGAGGAUAGUGGAAUUCCCAGUGUAGUGGUGAAAUACGUAGAGAUUGGGAAGAACACCAGUGGCGAAGGCGGCUAUCUGGACGGUUUCUGACGCUAAGACGCGAAAGCGUGGGGAGCAAACAGG
rnacentral:rRNA from 1 species